UACGUAGGGGGCAAGCGUUGUCCGGAAUUAUUGGGCGUAAAGAGCGCGUAGGCGGUCCGAUAAGUCGGCUGUGAAAGUCAGGGGCUCAACCCUUGGAAGCCGGCCGAUACUGUCGGACUAGAGUCCGGAAGAGGCAAGUGGAAUUCCCGGUGUAGCGGUGAAAUGCGCAGAUAUCGGGAGGAACACCAAUGGCGAAGGCAGCUUGCUGGGACGGUACUGACGCUGAGGCGCGAAAGCGUGGGGAGCGAACAGG
rnacentral:rRNA from 1 species